rnacentral:lncRNA from 1 species
UUAAAACAUAAAUUUAGAAUUUGAAUAUUUUAAAUUUAAAAUUUGAUAUUCAAGAAUUAAAAUGUGAAAUUAACUAAAGUGAGAAUUUUAAAAUUAAAAUUUGAAUUUUAAAAAUCUGAAAAACAUAAUUUGAAACUUAAAUAUUAUAAUUUUAAAUCGUUUUUUUAAAUUCAAAGUUUUAAAUUUCUAAAAUCUAAAAUUUCAAAAUUUAAAUUUUUGCUGAAGUUUUAAUAUUUCAAUCUGAAUUUUUAUGUUUAAAUUUAAAUUUAAAAUUUGACACGCGAUUUAAAUAUAUAUAUAUAUUUUUUUAGUUCUUCCCUCUCCGCCCCGCUUACCACACGCCGCCCCGCCCCGCUCCGCCUCCCUCCCGGCCUCGCUCCGCCGAUGUGUCAGUUUUCUCGGCGACGGGUUCUUCGGAACUCGU